AACGAACGCUGGCGGCAUGCCUAACACAUGCAAGUCGAACGAGACCUUCGGGUCUAGUGGCGCACGGGUGCGUAACGCGUGGGAACCUGCCCUUAGGUUCGGAAUAACUCCCCGAAAGGGGUGCUAAUACCGGAUAAUGUCUUCGGACCAAAGAUUUAUCGCCUUUGGAUGGGCCCGCGUUGGAUUAGCUAGUUGGUAGGGUAAAAGCCUACCAAGGCGACGAUCCAUAGCUGGUCUGAGAGGAUGAUCAGCCACACUGGGACUGAGACACGGCCCAGACUCCUACGGGAGGCAGCAGUGGGGAAUAUUGGACAGUGGGCGAAAGCCUGAUCCAGCACUGCCGCGUGAGUGAUGAAGGCCUUAGGGUUGUAAAGCUCUUUUACCCGGGAUGAUAAUGACAGUACCGGGAGAAUAAGCUCCGGCUAACUCCGUG
rnacentral:rRNA from 1 species